rnacentral:rRNA from 1 species
CAGGGAAUCUUGCGCAAUGGACGGGAGUCCGACGCAGCGACGCCGCGUGGGUGAAGACGGCCUUCGGGUUGUAAAGCCCUUUUCUGGGGGAAGAGAGAGGACGGUACUCCAGGAAUAAGUGUCGGCUAACUACGUGCCAGCAGCCGCGGUAAUACGUAGGACACGAGCGUUAUCCGGAUUUGCUGGGCGUAAAGCGCCUGUAGGCGGUUCUUCAAGUCGUUUGUGAAAGCCCUGGGCUCAACCUGGGGAGGCCAAGUGAUACUGGAGGACUUGAGGGUGACAGAGGGGAGUGGAAUUUCCGGUGUAGCGGUAAAAUGCGCAGAUAUCGGGAGGAACACCAGUGGCGAAGGCGGCUCCCUGGGUCACCCCUGACGCUGAGAGGCGAAAGCCAGGGGAGCAAACAG